CUUUUCCCCAGCACUUGGCAUAUCCUAUCUUGGAUCAGGUUUGGCUCCUUUGGCUCCUCGGUUGACUGAGCGCUCCCUGAGAGCAGGAACUGGGCCUCCUCCGCCUCUCUAACCCAACAACCCAGCAGGGCGCCUGGCACACAGUGGGUGCUCUAGAAAUGCUGGAAGAAGGGGAACGCGGAGUCGGGAGCCAUCUAUCUCAAUUACGGCUCGGCCUCUGCUUCUUUGCCCAUCUAAGAACACAACUCUAGAGAACUGGGCCAUCAGACACUUUUCUUCGGGGAAUAACACUGGAUUAAAAGGCAGUUCAAGGGGCCGGCCCCGUGGCCGAGAGAUUAAGUUCACGCACUCCGCUUCGGCAGCCCAGAGUUUCGCUGGUUCGGAUCCUGGGUGUGGACAUGGCCCCG